rnacentral:lncRNA from 1 species
GUUUUCCUGAUGUAAGAGACAAAAACAUCAGCAACAAAUCGCUAGGUUUCUGAUCCGACCUCAGAUCUCCUCAAAUCAGCAUUUCAAAGAUAUUUAUGUGACGGACUGUCCUGAGGCAAACAAGAACAACCAUCAAAACAGAGAAGAAAGUUCAACCAUAACAAACUCCACAAACUUCAACAACGUUUAGACGUCUGCAGUGAAGUUUAAAAAAAACCAAAACUGAACAAAGUUUAUGAAAAGUCCAGCUUCAUGGUCUCAAACUUUAAUCAUCUCUUUAUUUAAAACUGUUUACAUCUGCGCUCUUCUUCUUCUUCUCCUUCUUCUUCUUCUCCUUCUUCUUCUUCUUUGUUGGUUUUGUCUGUGUUUUUUUGGUCUUUUUUAGAAGUCUGAGGAAUAAAAACACAAAUUCAAGGAGGACCGAGAACUGAACCCUGUGGAACCCCAGAGAUCAUUUUGGUUCACUUACCCCUAAUUUCCACCUCAUCCUGAACGUCUACGAAAAGGUCAUAUCCUCUGAUCGUAGCUGAUCGUUACCAUUCAAGUUAACGUGUCAAUUUCCACCAGCUUCUUUCCGUUCCUCUGCGGAUCAAUUUCAAAAUCUAACCCUCUUUUGGAAAGGACAACUGGACUUGAGACGUCCCAAGUAAGUCCAGUUUUCCUUUCAACAAAGAACUGGAAAUCAUAGAUGCUGCAUCCUCAGUUUAAAACAACAUCUCAAGGUUACGAACAGCUACGAAAAGGCUGUAUCCUCCAAUCGUAGCUGAUCGUCACCAUUCAAGUUGACGUGUCAAUUUCCACCGGCUUCUUUCCGUCCCUCUGCAGAUCGCAAGAGUUCUAUUUUUUCCAGACACUGGAGCAUGCCGGGUGAAUUCAGCACAGACCAACCUGUGUUGGAAAGGAAGUCAGGCACAGACACAAAAUAAAACAUCCAGCUUCUUUUCAAAAUAAAACACCCCGUGUUUCAGGCGGAUCGUAUUUCACACCAUGCAAACGGGUGGAGACAAACAAGUGAAAGGUUUUUAGACGUCAUUUCACCCCGAUGACACCAUGGAUGAGGAGAUGCUGAUUCUAGAAGUCUAGAAGUAGAUUUCCUCCUCUGGAAGGACACAAUCUACUGCUUAUAUGUAUGUGGCUGUCUUUAUAGAGACAACUAGUUAUCGCGUGAUCGAACGUGAAUCUGUGGCUUCUUGUGAGUAUAUGCUGUCCAUAAUCCGUCACGAAAUUCGCCUCACAAACAGAUCCGCUUGGAAUUGGUGUAUGGCGAAAAUCGCCGCCGUCCAAGAUGCUGUGGAAAUCCUGGGUUAGAUGUUAAACAUGAGUUCAGGAUGAUCCUAACUCUCUGUCUUUAGUUAAUCUAAAUCCAUCUCCUGAACUUCAAUGAAGAUUUAGUCUGAAAACAUGAAUCCCGGACCUCCAUCAGGACACCUGUUCCAAACCAGAACCAAACUGGAUUUAUUCAAGAGUUCAGUAACUGUGAUUGUCUGUUUAAUAUCGCUGCAUAGAUAUUAGUUCCCUGUAAUUAGGAAGUUCCUGUUGCCUAGCAACAUCAUCAAGCAUCAGAUGGAUAAUGUUAGGACAAGAACAGCAUCGGUCUCUGUCCUUUAUUUAUAAAAAACAACAUUAUUUCAGCUUCACUUAAGAUGUGUGUGAGCUUUUACCUUUAUUGGACACACACACACACACACACACACACACACACACACACACACACACACACACACACACACACACACAGAGAUCACUGGGGCGCUCAUGAAUAAUGGUGAGUCAUGUUGUGAUCCCGCAGGGCGAUCAAUUUAAUCUGCACUCAUGGUGGGUAGAGUGUUUGUGUGUGUGUGUGUGUGUGUGUGUGUGCGUGUGCGUGCGUGUGUGUGUGUGUGUGUGUAUUUGUGUAUUUGUGUGUGUGUGCACGCUCUCUGGUUGGUUCUUUGGCUGCCACUGAAGCGCCGCUCUCCAACACUGAGUCACUCUGCUUCAGGGAGGUAAGACCACUGACUCUACAGCUGUUAGCCUGUUGGUGUGUAUGUGCGUGCGUGUGUGUGCGUGCACAUGUGUGUGUAUAUGAGUGUGUAGAUAGAGGAUGUAGCUGAAACCACGAAGGCGUUCACUGCAGCACUCUGACUCUUUGCCUCUAAAAGCUUCCUGGAAGAAAACAAAUCUGAUCAUGAAUUUUAAAAACGAACAAAAACUGUUGAAUUAUUAAUAAAAACAUGAAUUUUCUUCUUUUUCUUUUUUUCCUGCAGCUGAAUUUUAUUUGCAUUUCUCCUUCUUCUCGCUCCUAAAUUCACACUUACUCAACACUCGUUUCUGUCUUCUCCAGGACGUGUUUGUCGGUGUUUUCAGGAACAAAUCUCAGCUUUGUUUUUUUAUGUUAAAGAUGAAGUUACAUAAAAAUUAAACUUUUAUUCUCAAAAUCCAGCUCACACUGAAGAACUUACUGUAGCUCUUUUUGAAUUAAAACUCAACACUUCCUUACAGUAAAGACUCAUUAUCCCCUUGGACCAAACAUGGAGGAUUAUGGGAGAUGGGAGCGGGGUGUUACCUUUUACACAGCCUGUCCUCUUAAACAGACCCGCAGACACCAAACAGAGACUUUCAGCUGCUUUUAUAAUCAAUAAUUCUGAUUUUAUUCUAAAAUUAAAGGUCCUUUUACACCGGGAUCGUUUUUGUCAUGCAAUUAUUUCGGACAUCGAUAUUUUUUUUCGAACCCAUAUCCUGUCAAUACAAACAUUUACAUCAGCAAAGUUUUCCCGUCCUGCGAUAUUGCGGCAUUUAUUUUUUCGGAUCACGUCGAUUUUUCUAAAGUUUUGCAUACUGUAUGUCCACUUCUGACCAAUCAGAUUUCGUGUUGUUGCGACAUCCGAUUCAUCGGUAUAUCCAACAUGGCCGACUGGCUGAUUGUCUACGUGUCGGGGAACAGAGUGCUUUUUGAUAAAAGACACAAAUAUUACAAAGAUAAUGAUCUGAAGGACAACUUGUGGAGAGUCAUAGCGUUGGAUUACUUAUUCGAUGAUGGUUUGUGUGCUUUAACAGUUUGCUAAAUGUCUUUGUUGUACAGCUGGAACUGUGAACAAACAAACGUGACGUUCCUCUCACUAAAUAGGUACAUUUUAAACAAGUGUUAUCUUACCUUUUUCUUUUUUGUAAUAUUGGAUGCACUUAUGUGCUACGUUUCUUUUUCUUUUGAGAAAGCAAAAGGAGUACCAAUUCGCCAUCACUGAAGUAGACUCCAUUUUUGUCUUCUCACUUCCACCCGGGACGCUGUAUUAUGCUAAAGGAAGGUCCCGCCCUCCUUCGCCUCUGAUUGGCUAUAAGUGCUGACCGUUUGGCCUGAGCGUGUGAUGACGUUUCCAGCUUUUUGAGCCAAUCAGAGGUGAAGGAAAAGGAGAAGACCUUUUCCCCAGGAAAGGUCUUCCCGGAGUGCGUCUUUUUUGCUGAAAAGUUGCAAAAUCGCAUCGGGCUUGAAUAUUUCGUAUUUUUGCGUUCUUUAUUCGCGUCGGCCCCAGUGUGUAAGGACCUUCAAGGCAUCUUUCUUGAACCCUUAACACGUGACAUCUUCUGGUGGUGCGUUCAGUGACACUCCAGGGUCUGAAAUCUCAGUGUCAGUUUAUAAAAGCUGUUUUCAUGUUCUCUGUCGGCUGAAUGAGAGCGAUGAACCUCUGACUGUUUCCUCACUUUGAUCGCUCAGACUUCAGAGGGAAUUUUCAGACUGGUGUGUGCAUGUUUGUUUGUGUGUAUUUGUUUGUGUGUGUGAACACACAGCUGAGCUGACAGUCAAGUGAGCAGCGAGCUUCUGUCGGAGUUUUUGAUGUUUGUUUGUCAGCCGUGAACUCGACUCUUCAGGAUGAAAAAGAAAACAUUUUAAAAAACCAUCUGAGGAUGAUCACAGAGUACGGCCGCCGCUCAGACAGGAAGCGGACCAGGAACCCGAUAAACCGAGAGGGGGGCAGAGUCAACGAGGCGAGGCAAACACGCGAGCUUUGACUCAAACCCAAGACCUUCAAGACUGAGAGAAGUUACAGAGCCACCUUGCUAGGUGGCGCUCUCAAAGCUUUAAUGACACAGCUCAGAGGAGAGAGGAUCUAGGAGAGAGGAUCUAGGAGACAGGAUCUAGAGGAGGGGAGGGAAAUCAGAGGAGACAGGAUCUAGGAGACAGGAUCUAGGAAGGAGGAUAUAGGAGAGAGGAUCUAGAAGACAGGAGGGAAAUCAGAUGAGAAAGGAUCUAGGAGAGAGGAUCAAGGAGACAGGAUCUAAAAGAGAGGAUCGAGGAGAGAGGAGGGAAUCCAGAAGAGAAAGGAUCUAGGAGACAGGAGGGAAGUCAGAGGAGAGAGGAUAUAGGAGAGAGGAUCUGGAAGGGAGGAUAAAAAUGUGAGGAGAAAGGAUCUAGGAGAGAGAAGGGAAAUCAGAGGAGAAAGGAUCCAGGAGAAAGGAUCUAGGAGAGAGAAGGAAAAUCAGAGGAGACAGGGUGUAGGAGAAAGGAUCUAAGAAAGAGGAGGGAAAUCAGAGAAGAGAGGAUCUUGGAGAGAGGAUCAAGGAGAGAGGAGGGAAAUCAGAGGAGAAAGGAUCUUGGAGAGAGGAUCUAGGAAGGAGUAUCUAGGUGAGAGAAGGAAAUCAGAGGAGACAGGAUCAAGGAGAAAGGAUGUAGGAGAGAGUAGGGAAAUUAGAGGAGGGAGGAUCUAGGAGACAGGAUCUUGGAGAGAGGAUCUAGAAGCCAGGAGGGAAAUCAGAAAAGAAAGGAUCGAGAAAAGAUGAUCAAGGAGACAGGAUCUGGAAUAGAGGAGGAGAGAGGUGGGAAAUCAGAGGAGACAGGAUCUAGGAAGGAGGAUCUAGGAGAGAGAAUGAAAAUCAGAGGAGACAGGAUCUAAGAGAGAGGAGGGAAGUUGGAGGAGACAGGAUCUAGGAGAGAAGAUCUAGGAGAGAGGACCUAGGAGAGAGGAGGAAAAUCAGAGGAGAAAGGAUCUAGGAAAGAGGAUCAAGGAGACAGGAUCUAGAAUAGAGGAUCGAGGAGAGAGGAGGGAAUCCAGAAGAGAAAGGAUCUAGGAGACAGGAGCAAAAUCAGAGGAGAGAGGGUCUAGGAGAAAGGAUCUCGGAGAGAGGAGGGAAGUCGGAGGAGACAGGAUCUAGGAGAGAGGAUCUGGGAGAGAGGAGGGAAGUCGGAGGAGACAGGCUCUCGGAGAGAGGAUCUAGGAGAGAGGAGGUAAAUCAGAGGAGAUAGGAUCUAGAAGAAAGGAUUAAGGAGCCAGUAGGGAAGUCGGCGGAGAAAGUAUCUAGGAGAGAGAAUCUUGGAGACAGUAGGGAAGUUGGAGGAGACAGGAUCUAGGAGAGAGGAUCUAGAAGACAGGAGGGAAAUCAGAUGAGAAAGGAUCUAGGAAGGAGGAUCUAGGAGAGAGGAUCUUGAAAAGAGGAGGGAAAAUAGAAGAGAGAGCAUCUAGGAGAAAGGAUCCAGGAGAGAGGAGGGAAGUCAGAGAAGACAGGAUCUAGGGGAGAAGAUCUAGCAGAGAGGAGGGCAGUCAGAGGACUCUUGAGAGUUAAACCAGUAUUUUCUCAAAGGUUGAAAAUCUGUUGAAAAAUUUUAUUUCAUUUUUUAUGUAUUUGGAGGUUGUUUUUCGGAGGUGUGGCCUCGCACUGGAACUGGAAAAUCGACUAAUGAGAGGCCAGAGAGGUUGAUGUUCACACUCUGGUUAGACAAGGUCGGGCUAAAUAGUUGUUCACCACCUACAGGGGUCACUGCGGGGAGUCUGAUGUUCAACAUUGUCUCAGGCAGGGCCAGGUCUGUGUGUUCGUGUGUUUGUGUGCGUGUGUGUGUGUGUGUGUGUGUGUGUGUGUGUGUGUGUGUGUGCAGGAACCUGAUGGAUGUUUGUAUGAUUUCAGGGGCAGACAGCAUUCCCAUGAGACCAGAACACUCCCCAUAGAGUGUAGACAAAUGGUGUGUGUCCAUACAACACACACACACACACACACACACACACACACACACCCUGCAGUGUGUGAUAGAUAGCUGUGUAUGAUCUGUGCUUUUGUGUGAUAGCAAAGUUAUUAAGAUCAGUCAACCAAAUGCUCCUCUAGCAGCACACACACACACACACACAAACACGCACACACACACACACACACCACUGCAGGGGUAAACACACACAGGCAGACACUCACACACACACACACACACACACACACACACACACACACACACACACACAUGCUGUGGGAGAAUGAAUGUCUCUCAUUGGUCAUGUCCUCCAGCCUCAAGAGGGAGAAGAAGAAUGAAGAUGAGGCGAGGAAGUCAGCCAGAGAGAGAGAGCAGAUAGAUGUACUGGCAACAAUGUAUGUGUAGGUGUGUUUGUGUUUAGACACUAAGGGGGACUUGUACUGUCAGAAGGGAACAAACACACAAAGUCUCCUUUAAAGGAUCGGACAGGAUCCAGGAGGAGGUCUUUUUGAUUUAAAAUCCUACCGUGUGCUUCCUGUUUUGUUUAUUUUCAUUUUUUUUAUUUCGAUGUCUUUGUUCAUGGAAAUAGGAUGCUAAAACACGGCUGACCUCGUAAAUAUUAAUAAAACGUAGAUUUAUGCAGGAAGUCAGAAUGUGCUUCCACAUAGAUCUAUGCUUGUAGGACAUUUCGGGGGGUGAAAUGCGCCACCAGAUUAUGCUUCCACAUAGAUAUAUGCUGGACAGACGUAUGUUGGAGAGGUUGAUGAGUAAUGUCACUGCAGACGACAAAGAUGAAGUCGAGAAGUACAGAUCCUUUAAUACCCCCAACCGAGGAUCUACUCCACUUCUGGGCAACGAGAAAGACUGUCACAACGUCCCAGCAGCAUAUAUCUGUGUAGAGACAUAAUUUGAUGGGGGUUUUCCACCUGCUGAAACUUCCUACCAUAAUAUUAAUGCUCAUUUCUGCGCCACAUGUCAAAGCGCUAGCCCAAACAGGGCGAUGCAAUAGUUUAUAACAGUUGGUUAAAUUCACUCAUUUAGCUGCACUUUGAGACGGGUUUCUGUGCAACAUCAUCGCAGGUAUGAGCGCGCAGCCUUGGGGCAGAAAGCAUGACAUUUCUUAUUUGUUUACUAGCAGAGUCAAAGAAAAUGACAAGGAGCUGUUGCGCUGUAAACUGUACAAAUCAGCAAAACAAACGAUCAGCAAACAUUAUGACCGUGCUCCUGAUAUUAGAAACAUCUAAAACAACAUCACAACCUUGAGUGAAAUUCAUGGAUAUUCCAGCAAGUGUUUUUCAAAGCGAUUUUUCAGUGAAAUGACAUUUUAUUGCAAUUGUGUCUGAACUAGCAAACAAUACGCCAUCUUCAUUGAUAUCAGUUCAUACUGAAGCAGGCUUUUGCGCCAUGGUUGCACGCGCACCUAGUAUUGUUUGUACACAAGGAACCCUUUUAUACUGCGUGAGAGUACAUACAUACUACGGCCCGACCCAUAUGGAUUUUUUGGGGCCGAUGCUGAUACCUAUUUUUAGGGGAGAAAAAAAUUCAGAUUACCGAUUAAUUAUAAGAUUUUAAUUUUUUUUCAUAAAGUUAUAAAAAAUAUGUAUAUAUACUGUAGAUAUCUACAGUAUACUUUGAACUGUAGGCUACUGCUCUUCAUCCGACAGGGAAAACGACUGAUCAAACUCGGACCAGAAAAGCGUUUUCAAAAUGUAAAAAAAGGGGGUAGAAAGCAGGAAACAGGAUAGUAAAUAAUAAUAAAAUCAUGAUUAAAUAAUAAUGAUGAUACUAUUAAUGAUAAAAUGGAAUAACAAAAAUGAGCAGAAGAAAAAAAAAACAAUAAAAUCAAUAAAAGGACUAAAAAGUUAAAUAAGAAAAGAUUAUAAGUAAAACAAAGGCUAAAAAGACAGUAGGUCAAAAUGAGAUAAAAAGGUAAAAAAGAAAAAAAAAAAAAGAGAUGUCAUCACAUAAAAGCUAGUCUGUAAAAGUGAGUUUUUAAAUUUGACUUAAAAAAGCGACUGUCUCUGCACGCCUCAUCUCCUUUGGCAGGUCGUUCCAAAGUUGAGGAGCUCUGAUGGCGAAAGAUCUAUCACCUUUAGGUUUGAGCCUCGACUUUGGAAUGACCAGGAGGCCUUCGCCGGAGGAUCUGAGGCUGCUGUAUUAAAGCUCUGAAAUGUAGCUCAGAGCAAGUCCUUUGAGUGCUUUAAAAGUAAUCAAUAAAAUCUUAAAAUCAAUUCUAAAACUGACAGGAAGCCAGUGGCUAAAAUUGGAGUGAUGUGAUGCCGUCGACUGGUAGGACAUCUCAACAGGUAGGAUGGAUUUACAGAACACCGGUCCUGGGGUCCUGAUAACCAUGAGAGGUGGACUUGGUGUUAGAAACGACCACAACACAGUAAAUGUCUUGUCAGAAAUUAAAGGGGCGGUUCAGGCCUGAUACUUUACCCCCCCCUUCCUCUGUAUGCAGACUGAAUCCACAGUUAGACGCUCUGUUUGGAAAAGGACUGCAGAGAGAGAGAAACAAUAUAGCUGGAAGGAUAACUGGAGCUUAUUACAAACAGAGAGAGAGAGAGAGCGAGGGAGCGGGUCUAGCGGCUCAUAAAUGAUGUAUGUAAUAUUCCUGUUUGAACUCUCUCUGCAGUAAUUCUGCUGAAGGACCCGAUUGUUUCCAGUUUGGAUCAUGAACCUUUUCUUAACGCUAAUGGGGACGAGUGCGUGGUCUGUGGAGGUGGACUGAGGGUCGAUGAAGUCGGGGACUUUGUAGACCUGCAAACUCAGAGGAACUGUGAAUAUAUAUAUAUAUAUCUGUGUGAGGAGUGAGGACAAUAACCCACUGGACUCCACAGGGCCUCAGUUCUCAUAAAGCUGUGGUCCAUUAACCCUUAGAACUCCCAGCUAUAUUUUGCUAUUUUUGUUUUUUUUUGUAAAAAUCUAUGUAUCAACUAGAUCCCAAGCACAGCAAAUAUAUACACAUCUUUUUUUUUCAGGACAACCUCAGCUGGCAGUUUAUGGGUGCAAAAAUGAUGUAAAAUGAAUGUGACAGUAGAUUCAGUACCAUCAAAGUCAAAUGGAAAUUGAUCCCAACAGUACUUUACUCAAAAAACACAUAAAUCUGCAGUGACCAAGCCUUUUCUCACCUGCACAUCAUUCUCUCAAGUCUUGGCUAUCAGGAGAAGAAAUACUGGGUCUGGAACAAACACACAACAGAAACUAUUUAUGUAUUUACACUAAUUUUUUCAGGUGUUUUUUUUUUUUUUUUACUAUUUACAGUUGUUUAUGCCACUCCUUGAAGCAGUUCCUGUCUGGGAUGAGACUGAGGACCACAUCAUAAUGCUCAUAAUCUCUUCUUUGCUUGUUUCUAAACAUUGAGGACCAUUAUUUCUUAUUUGGCAGACAAGCUAGGAACUUUCUCGUCUCUUGUUGAUCUUUGGUUGCCUCUUAUUGGACACUACCAUCAAGGGAACAAUAGAAGCUGAGAGUUAAAGAGCUUGGACCUGAUCUUUGCAGGAGAAGCUGAGAGUUUAAGAGCUUGGACCUGAUCUUUGUAGGAAAAGAUGAGAGUUAAAGAAGGUUGGACCUGAUCUUUGCAGGUGAAGAUGAGAGUUAAAGAGCUUGGACCUAAUCUUUGCAGGAGAAGAUGAUGGUUAAAGAGCUUGGACCUGAUCUUUGCAGGAGAAGAUGAGGGUGAAAGAGCUUGGACCUGAUCUUUGCAAGAGAAGAAAAGAGUCAUAGAGCUUGGACCUGAUCAAACAGACAUCAGAAUAAGCUUUAUGAGACAUGUUUAGAUCUUCCCUCUCACUGUGAAAACAGUUUUUGUCCUGGAGACCUUGAACAUCCCCCUGUUCAUACCAUCCCUGUAAAGGUCUCUGCUGGUCUCACCUCCAUACUAAUGUGUCUCUUUUUGUCGGCAGGUGUUUCUCUCAUUACUCACACCCUGUUGUAGAUCUUUCUGAAAAACCUGAUAGCUUCCACGCCUUCAGACCGCUGACCUUUCAGUGAUGUAUGGGGUCAUUGGUGCCGCAGCUUACUCCUUUAUCAGAUUUAUGAGGCCGUCUACUUUAAGACGUCAUGACCUAUACAGAAGAUGGAGCUGCAGGUUUUCGCCUCAGUUUGCUGACGGGUUAAAUUUGCUGUUUUGGAGAAACCUCGGAGAGGUCUCAGACUGAUCCUGACCUUCAUCCAUGGGUGCAGCUGCAGGGGUCACAGGAGAAGCUCUAAGGUCAGAUCAGUAUACAGGAAGUGACGAAGUAAACAGGAAGUGAACGGGGUCCAUCAGAGAAGCAUAUCUGAAGGUCGGUGUUUUCUCUCUUCUCUGUUUCAGAUUUUAAUCGACUGUUUUCUGAUUCUGUUUGUUUUAUUGGCAGUAGAUUUAUAUUAGUCAUAACACACACACACACACUGUAACAUCUCCAUUUCUACACCCCUCCCUUGCUCGCUCGCUCCAUCGCUGAUGAAAUUGCAGGUUAGAGGUUAUUGCGGGCUGUUUGCCAGACACCAGUCUGAACAAACACAAUCAUCUGAGAGGAUUACAGCUCGAUCUGUCUGCGGUUCAAAUCAGGACGAAGAUGGUGAGGAAGAUGGUGAGGUGGUGAUGGAGCGUUCUUCCCACAGCUUCAUCAGCGUGGAGUAAACACCUGCAAAGGAAUCAAACCCGCAGCUCCAUCUUCAGCCCCAUCAUGGCUUUGUUUCCUGGUCCGCCCCCUGAAUCCAGACUACAAGGAGACACUCAGUGCAUUUACAUGUACAUCUUAAUCGGACUAAGCUCAUAAUGAACGAGUCCUCCUCCCCAAAACUAGGGGGCGAUAUGGGUCUUUUCAGCUGUUUCCGAUCCCAUACAACCGUCAACAACAACAGCAGGUCUGUGCCAGACUUCAGACGUGUCUACAACUGCUGCUGAGCAUUUUGGAGCAAGAAGAUGGAGCAUCGUACAGUGUUGUUUUUGUCCUACAUGAUGGAUGCUACUUUUUCUGCAAUAAGGUUUUUUCAUGCACUUUAACUCCCCAGUCUUGAUCGGAAUAAGGCGAUAAUUCAGUUUUCUUGAGUGUCAUGUAAACGUACUGAGUUAUAAUUUCUCAGCAGCCGAAGCAACACCAGGUAAACCCGAUCACAGAGUCGGACUGGAUUCUCCUCUGGCACUCUGUUGGCAUCUGUUUAAGAGAGGAGGAAUAAUGACAGGUGAUGGACACAGGUGUGAGAGCAACCUGAGGAGCUUCUGGACCACAACCAUCCUGUCCUGCAAUCUGUGAACCAGCAGGAGAUCCGGCUAAAACAUCUUUAAGACCCUGUCCACAGAUUCCUUUUGUCCUCCUGUUCGCUGAAAACAGGAAAUUUCUGUUGAGAUGUUACCCCGAAUUUCCACUGCAUACGGAACGGCAGCGAUUUUUGCCAUCUCCCAAUUCCUACUUGAUCCAUUUGUGAGGCAAAUUUCGUGGCAGAUUACGGACAGCGGUAAUCGCUAGAACUCACAAGAACACGCGGAUUCAUGUGCAAUCGUGCAAUAACAAGUUGUUUCUAUAAAGAUUGCCACAUAGAUAUACAGUGCAUCCGGAAAGUAUUCAUACCACUUCACUUUUUCCACAUUUUGUUAUGUUACAGCCGUAUUCCAAAAUGGAUUAAAUUCCCCUUUUCCCUCAAAUAUUCGACACAAAAUACCCCAUGAUGACAAAGCGAAAAACUUUUUUUAGAACAUUUUGCAAAUUUAUAAAAAAUAAGACACUCAACUGUUGCAUAUGCAUAAGCAUUCACACCCUUUGCUAUAAAACUCAAAAUUGAGCUCCGGUGCAUCCUGUUUCCACUGAUCAGCCUUGAAAUGUUCCUCUUACUUGAUUGCAGUCCACCUGUGGCAAAUUCAGCUGAUUGGACAUGAUUUGGGAGGCCACACCUGUUUAUAUAAGAUCCCACAGCUGAAAGAGCACGUCAGAGUACGUUUUAUUUUUAAUAAAUUUGAAAAAUGUUCUAAAAAAAGUUUUUGCUUUGUCAUUAUGGAGUAUUUUGUGUCGAAUUUUUGAGGGAAAAAAGGAAUUUAAUCUGUUUUGGAAUAAGGCUGUAACAUAACAAAAUGCUGAAAAAGUGAAGUGGUAUGAAUACUUUCCGGAUGCACUGUAUAAGCAGUAGAUUGUGUCCUUCCAGAGGAGGAAAUCUACUUUUAGACUUCUAGAAUCAGCAUCUCCUCAUCCAUGGUGUCAUCAGGAUGAAAUGGUGUCUAAAAACCUUUCACUUGUUCGUCUCCGCCCGUUUGCAUGGUGUGAAAUACGACUUCCUUUCCAGCAUGGGUUAAUCCGUGGUGAAUUUAUCCGACAUGCUCCGGCGUCCGGAAAAAAUAGAACUCUUGCGAUUAGCUUAGAAGUCCGGCGAUCCGCAGCAGGAACUGAAAGAAGCCAGUGAAAAUUGACAUGUUAACUUGAAUGGUUACGAUCAGCUACAAUCGGUGGAUACGACCUUUUAGUAGACUUUCAAGAUGCGGGGGAAAUUGAGUUAUCCUAUUGGCGGAAAUCUGACGCGGUCUCGUGUUCACGUCCCCUGCAGGCAGAUUAAGUUCAUGUCCACAGAGAACUUUAUCCGCCUCUUGAGAUUCUAGUUGACAAAACUCUCCAUCGUCCCUCAUGUUCACUCUCAUUUUUCUACAAACAGGAACUGGUUAAACCAAAUAUUAUUUUUUUUCGCGGAACCGGUACGUGCACGAGAUAACAGGCGCUGGAAGCAGAUUGGUGCGGCUCAGAAACACUGAGAUGUGUGAAGUCGUGAUCUGACGGCAUCCUCCAUCCAGAUUCCUGCACAUUCAUCACUCGUACUCUCCGCACACCUGAGCCUCAUCCUCCGGCGCCGCGGCUAAUCAAACAGCCUUUAUGGAGGCGCUGCUCGUAAAUCUGAAUGCUGAUGAUGAGCUUCCUGUCUGAAAGGAAACCUGUCGUUGCGUGCUGCUCAUCCUCGCCUUCAUCAUCUGUCAGAGGAUGUGAGGAGAUUAUUCUAGAGAGACUCAGGCAUUAAAGACACACGAGACUCAGGCAUUAAAGACACACACACACACACACACACACACACACACACACACACACACACACACACACUGAUACAUCCUCAUCCAGGAAGACAAAAUAUUCUGAUUAAUCUCAGAAACGGGUUUGACUGGUUUUGGGAGAAAAAUCUGCAGUGGUGAUCUUGUCCAAUCAAAAACAACUUCAUUCCAUCACUGCAUAAAGACACACACACACACACACACACACACACACACACACACACACACACACACACACACACACGUCUAUUUAUGAGUCAAACUGCACUGAGGGUUUAUUCCAAUUUAGACAGAAGCUGGUCUAUUAACAGAUGAACAUCCAGACCAGCAAGGAGCGAUAUUGUGUGACCAGUCCAUCAUGUCAAUAACUGUGUGUUUGUUUAUUGACGGUUCAUGAUCCUUCAGGAACCGACCAGGCUGGAUCCCACUCAGCUGACCCCUUAGACGGGGCCUAAGGACAAACUGACCAAUCAGCUGAGUCAUAUUUUUUCUGUGGUUACGUUAGUCUGAUGGUUAAAUCCUUGCCAUGAUGGAGUUUAAAGCCUUCCUCUCAGAUUCUCCUCUGAACCAUCUCCUCUCUGCACAUGAUCCUGGUUUCACCCCUGGAGUGAAAAGCUGUGAUUCUCUCGGCGUGACGGCAGAAACUGUCACGUUUUAACAUCCUCAGAGUCGAGGAGUGUGAACUACAGCUGCUGCUACACCUCCCACCGAAUAAUCCAAGUAAUCCAAUAAAAUCGUGCCGCAAAGCGAUGAAGAGAAGAGGAGGAAGGAUGUUAACAGGAAGUUCAGAGGAAAAGGAAAAUUAGCUUUUAUUGAUCGUCUGCAAACAGUCAGUGGACUGUGAGAGGCCAGGAAUCAGACUUUCAUUUUCCUUUACAUUUUCAUUAAAACUGUGAGGAAAAGAACACACCGAGAAGGAGAAGGAGAAACUUUUAACAGAAACAGAGAAACAAAGAAGUGAGUCCUGCAGCUGAUAAAAGAUCUGCAUGUUUUAACUAUGUGUUUUUAUCCUGACAAUUUAAAUUUGUUUAUUUAGUUUUAUUAUUGUUAUUUUUAUUUAUUUAUUUUAAUAUAUUUAAAUUAAAACUUAUAGAGCAACAUGGAUACCUUUAAUUUCUCUCUUAUUUCUUAUUUCUGAGAAGACUUUUACGAUUGGUCAAUCCAUCCUGAGUUUGAUCGAAACAUGACUUCAGGAAAAGAGGAAGUUCAAGAUGUAGCAAGUACUAGCAUAACUCUGCACAAUAAGCCAAGUCCUCUUAUUGAAGCAGGUCCAAGGUCUUGGACUCUCAUCUUCUCCUGCAAAGAUCAAGACCCGGCUCUUUAACUUACAUCCUCCCCUGCAAGGAUCAGGUCUAAGCUCUUUAACCCUUAUUUUCUCAAACAAAGAUUGUGUCCAAGCUCUUUUACUCUCAUCUUCUCCUGCAAAUAUCAGGUCCAAGCUCUUUAACCCUCAUCUUUUCUUGCAAAGAUCAGGUCCAGCUCUUUGACCUUCAUCUUCUCCUGCAAAGAUCAGGUCCAAGCUCUUAAACCCUUAUCCUCUCCUGCAAAGAUCAGGUCCAAGCUCUUGGACUGUUGUCUUCUCCUGCAAAGAUCAGGUCCGAGGUCUUGGACUCUCUUCUUCUCCUGCAAAAAUCAGGUCCAGGCUCUUUCACUUACAUCCUCUCCUGCAAAGAUCAAGUCCAAACUCUUUAACCCUUAUUUUCUCCUGCAAAGAUCAGGUCAAAGCUCUUUAACUCUCACAUUCCCAUGCAAAAAUCAGGUCAAAACUGUUUAUUUCUCACCGUCUGCAAAGAUUAGGUUUAAGCUCUUUAACCCUCAUCUUUUCCUGCAAAGAUCAGGUCCAAACUCUUUAACUCUCACCUUCCCCUGCAAAGAUCAGGUUCAAGCUCUAUAACUCUCAUCUUCUCCUGCAAAGAUCAGGUCCAAACUCUUUAACCCUCAUCUUUUCCUGCAAAGAUCAGGUCCAAGCUUUUAAGGUCUUAUAUUUUCCUGCAACGAUCAGGUCAAAGGUCUUUUACCCUAAUCUUCUCUUGCAAAGACCAGGUCCAAGCUCUUUUACUCUCACCUUAUCCUGCAAAGAUUAGGUCCAAACUCUUUAACUCUCAUCUUCUUCUGCAAAUAUCAGGUCCAAACUCUUAAACUCUCACCUUCCCCUGCAAAGAUCAGGUCCAUGUUCUUUAACCUUCAUUCACUCCUGCAAAGACCAGGUCCAAGCUCUUUUACUCUCACCUUAUCCUGCAAAGAUUAGGUCUAAGCUCUUUAACCUUUAUCUUCUCCUGCAAAGACCAGGUCCAUGCUCUCUAACCCUGCAUUUUCUCCUGCAAAGAUUGGGUCCAAGCUCCUUAACUCUCAAGUUCUCCUGCAAAGAUCAGUUUCAAGCUCUUUAACCCUUACCUUCUUCUACAAAGAUCAGGUCCAAACUCUUUGACACUCAUCUUCUCCUGCAAAGAUCAGUUCAAAGUUUUUGACCCUCAUCUUCUCCUGCAAAGAUCAGGACAAAGUUUACACCCUCAUCUUCUACUGCAAAGAUCAGGUCAAGCUCUUAUACUAUCAUCUUCUCCUGCAAAAAUCAGUUCCAAGCUCUGUAACUCUCAUGUCCCCUUGCAAAGAUCAAGUCCAAUCUCUUUAACCCUCAUCUUCUCCUGCAAAGAUCAGGCACAAGCUCUUUAACUCUCAUCUUCUUCUGCAAAGAUCAGGUCUAAGCUCCUUAACCCUUAUUUUCUCCGACAAAGAUCGUGUCCAAGCUCUUUUACUCUCAUCUUCUCUGGCAAAGAUCAGGUCUAAGCUCUUAAAUUCUCAUCUUUUCCUGUAAAGAUCAGGUCCAAGCUCUUUAACUCUCAUCUUCCCCUGCAAAGAUCAGUACCAAGGUCUUGGACUGUCGUCUUCUCCUGCAAAGAUCAGGUCAAUGUAUCUUAACCUCAUCUCUUCCUGCAAAGGUCAGGUCCAAGCUUCUUAAAUCUUAUCUUUUCCUGCAAAGAUCAGGUCAAAGCUCUUUAACACUAAUCCUCUCCUGCAAAGAUCAGGUCCAAGCACUUAGACCCUCAUCUACUCCUGCAAAGAUCAGGUCAAAGCUCUUUAACUUUCAUCUUCUUGUGCAAAGAUCAGCCCAAGCUCUUUAACCCUCAUCUUAUCCUGCAAACAUCAGGUCCAAGCUCUUUGACCCGCAUCUUAUCCUGCAAACAUUAGGUCCAAACUCUUCCCAAACUCUUUCUCCUGCAAGGAUCAGGUCCAAGCUCUUUACCCCUUAUCUUCUGCAAAGAUUAGGCCCACGCUGUUUAACCUUCAUCUUCUCCUGCAAAGACCAGGUCGACACUCUUUAACUCUCAUCUUCUUCUACAAAGAUCAGGUCCAAGCUCUUUAACCUUCAUCUUCUCCUGCGAAGACCAGGUCCAAGCUCUUUAACUCUCAUCUUCUCCUGCAAAGAUCAGUAACAUGCAGUUAUUUAAUUUGACAUUUAACACACUUUUUUGUUCAUUUUUCUUUGUUUUCAGUUUUUUGUUUUUUUUUCCUUGUUUGUGUCUUCCAUUUUCCAAAUAUUUUUAAUGUUUAAAAUCAAAGGUCUUUUUUUUUCUCUCCAUCCUUCACACUGACCUCCGUACUCUCUGCAGUCUGGCAGCGAUUUCAUGUUCAAAGUCAAGGUCAGGCGGAAGAUCUGCUGCAGCGUCUGAAACUCCCAGAGAGACGAAGAGGAGGAGGAGGAGGAGGAGGCAGAAACAAAGAAGAGCCGCUGAUAAGAUAACAUAUUGGCUGCAGUUUCACGGUGGAGGAUCUGAACAUGCAGGCUUUUAUUUUUUGUCAGAUAACUGUGUUUAACCUCCUGAACUCCUCUGAUGCUCCUCCGCCUCCUCCUCCUCAUCAUCAUCAUCACCUCAGCUGGCUCCUACUUCAGUUAAAGCCUGAUAUUUUAAGAGCCGUAUUUCCUCUUGUAAGUGUUGUGUUUUUGUGCAGGUGGGAGGAGAGAGAAGUGCAGCAAAAGCCGAAAAAGACCAGAAAUAUGCAGAUAUAUCACAAUUUGGAGCUGGAGACCCAAAUAGAUGAGUCUGACUUCAUCUGUGGUCCACAGGAACAAAGAUACUGGAUCAGAAAAUGUUGACAAAGCUGAUUUUUAUAAUAUGAGAGCAGAGCACUCACAUCUUCACUCUGGACUCUUUCUGUCCUACACAAACAGGUUCACACGCUGCUCUCUUUGUAGAGUCCAGGUCCUGUUAACCCUGCACACCCAGAUCCUUUUUAUCUGUGAACUCGUCUGUGACAGUUCAGACUCCGAUAAAAACCCUCUUUUCAUCUCCCAUCUGCAGGUCGACUCCAAUCCUCUGAUCGUUUUACAGUCCUGAGAGAUAAAUGUGAAGGAGAGGCAGACACAUGCUGGUCUUAAUGACAGAGAAGGAGAAGGAGGAGAAGUGAAGAAAAAUGUGCAUUUCAUCAUUUUUUUAAACAUGCAUUUGACUUUUUAAGCACAAAGAACAGAUCCUGUUAAAACUGCAGGUUUGGACACAAGCAACGAGGAAAACUGAAGUUUGGUAAACAUCUGAGUUUAGCGCAGAGGUUCGAUUUUACUGAGAUCAUUUGUUAGAAGGCUGACUCCUCAAUGUCUAAUGGCUUCUUGGAGCUGACCUCCCAUAAUGCAAAGUGGAAACAGAGCCAUCAUUGGAUCAGAACCAGGGGCUACAGGUGUGUUAAAGUGCGGUUUAAAUGACGGAGGAAGGAAAGAGAGAAAAACAGAGACAGAUGAAACAGAGAGAGGAUGAGUGAGAAGAAAAGACCAAAACCAGGACUCGUGGGGGGCCCAGUGUGGCUCCAGGAGGAACUCCCGCUCUCAUUAAACUCCCGCUGAGCUUCAACCCAAUUAUCUUUAACCGAGGCCGGGUCCACGGCAGGGGGGUCGACCCAAAGAGGCCGCCGGCUGAUCUGAAGAGGGCUGGAUAUCUUUAAACAUCUGAGAGGAGAAACACUGGAGGGAAGGAAAGAAGAGCGGGUUCCUGUUGGUGACAGUGUUGAUGGGGACAGGGACAGACUUUAAUGGUGAAACUACAACUCUUUAAUAUUCUUAUAAAGAUGGAGUUCACUGUGAGGGAAAAAAACAAAGAUUUGAC